AUCACUUCUUGGCCUUUUGGCUAAGAUCAAGUGUAGUAUCUCACAUUAGAUACUUUUUAAUAAACCAAUGUGCACAAAAUGAGGAGGCUUUCCUUGUCUUUUAGAACUCUUCAAGGAUCUUGGAGAGUUUCUAGAUUGUCA
ensembl:snRNA U2 U2 spliceosomal RNA